rnacentral:rRNA from 1 species
GGAGGUAGUGACAAUAAAUCACAAUGCGGGACUUUUAGUUUUGCAAUUGGAUUGAGAACAAUGUAAAAGAGUUAUCGAUAAACAAUUGGAGGGCAAGUCUGGUGCCAGCAGCCGCGGUAAUUCCAGCUCCAAUAGCGUAUAUUAACGUUGUUGCAGUUAAAAAGCUCGUAGUUGAAGUGUGGGGUAAAAGAAUGUGUGUUCAUUUUGAAUGUGCGUUUGCUUACCCCCUCUCCAAUGUGUUAUUAUGGGUAUUAAUUUACUUGUAAUAGCUAUUGGUCAUUUACUGUGAGAAAAUUAGAGUGUUCAAAGCAGGCAUUUGCUUGAAUAUAUUAGCAUGGAAUAAUAAUAAAAGGCUUUUGUGGUCGAUUUAAUUGGUUUGUUCAUGAAAGCAAGAUUAAUAGGGACAGUUGGGGGUAUUCAUAUUCAAUAGUUAGAGGUGAAAUUCUCGGAUUUAUGGAAGAUGAACAAGUGCGAAAGCA